rnacentral:rRNA from 1 species
UACGAAGGGGGCAAGCGUUGUUCGGAUUUACUGGGCGUAAAGGGCGCGUAGGCGGAUGUUCAAGUCAGAGGUGAAAGCCCUGGGCUCAACCCGGGAAUUGCCUUUGAAACUGGACGUCUUGAGUGUGGGAGAGGGUGGCGGAAUACCCAGUGUAGAGGUGAAAGUCGUAGAUAUUGGGUAGAACACCAGUGGCGAAGGCGGCCACCUGGCCCAUAACUGACGCUGAGGCGCGAAAGCGUGGGGAGCAAACAGG